UACAGAGGUCCCAAGCGUUGUUCGGAUUCAUUGGGCGUAAAGGGUGCGUAGGCGGCGCGGUAAGUCGGGGUGUGAAAUCUCGGAGCUUAACUCCGAAACUGCAUUCGAUACCUGCCAUGCUUGAGGGACUGGAAGUGGAGACUGGAAUUAACGGUGUAGCGGUGAAAUGCGAUAGAGUAUCGUGAAGGGAAGACCCAGUGGGCCGGAAAGGCGGGGU
rnacentral:rRNA from 1 species